rnacentral:rRNA from 1 species
UCCAGAGGGUGCGAGCGUUCCUCGUCCUUCCUUUUCUUCAAGGGUGUGUAGGUGGCUUGAUAAGUUAGGUGUGAAAGUCCUGGGCUUAACCUGGGGAUGUCGCUUAAGACUGUCAGGCUAGAGUACUGUAGAGGAAGGUGGAAUUUCCGGUGUAGCAGUGAAAUGCGUAGAUAUCGGAAGGAACAUCAGUGGCGAAGGCGACUUUCUGGACAGAUACUGACACUGAGGCACGAAAGCGUGGGGAGCAAACAGG